AUUGAACGCUGGCGGCAUGCUUUACACAUGCAAGUCGAACGGCAGCGCGGGCUUCGGCCUGGCGGCGAGUGGCGCACGGGUGAGUAAUGCAUCGGAACGUGCCCAGUAGUGGGGGAUAGCCCGGCGAAAGCCGGAUUAAUACCGCAUACGACCUGAGGGUGAAAGCGGGGGGCCGAAAGGCCUCGCGCUAUUGGAGCGGCCGAUGUCGGAUUAGCUAGUUGGUGGGGUAAAGGCUUACCAAGGCGACGAUCCGUAGCUGGUCUGAGAGGACGACCAGCCACACUGGGACUGAGACACGGACCAGACUCCUACGGGAGGCAGCAGUGGGGAAUUUUGGACAAUGGGGGCAACCCUGAUCCAGCCAUGCCGCGUGCGGGAAGAAGGCCUUCGGGUUGUAAACCGCUUUUGUUCGGGAAGAAAUCCUCUGGGCUAAUACCCCGGGGGGAUGACGGUACCGGAAGAAUAAGCACCGGCUAACUACGUG
rnacentral:rRNA from 1 species